rnacentral:rRNA from 1 species
UAGGGACAAGUGAAUAAGUGCACAUGGUGGAUGCCUUGGCGAUUACAGGCGAUGAAGGACGUAGUAGCUUGCGAUAAGCUGCGGGGAGUGAGCAAACACACUUUGAUCCGCAGAUUUCCGAAUGGGGAAACCCGGCCCUUUGGGUCAUCACUCACUGAAUACAUAGGUGUGUGAAGCGAACGCGGCGAACUGAAACAUCUAAGUAGCUGCAGGAAAAGAAAUCAACCGAGAUUCCCAAAGUAGUGGCGAGCGAAAUGGGAUGAGCCUUGUACGUGAUAGUCGGACUGAUAGUGGAAUCCUUUGGAAACAGGAGCCAUAGCGGGUGAUAGCCCCGUACACGAAAUCAGACCGGUGGUACUAAGCGUACGACAAGUAGGGCGGGACACGUGAAAUCCUGUCUGAAGAUGGGGGGACCAUCCUCCAAGGCUAAAUACUCGUAAUCGACCGAUAGUGAACCAGUACCGUGAGGGAAAGGCGAAAAGAACCCCGGGAGGGGAGUGAAAUAGAACCUGAAACCGUGUGCAUACAAACAGUCGGAGCCUCUUCGUGGGGUGACGGCGUACCUUUUGUAUAAUGGGUCAGCGACUUACAUUCAGUGGCGAGGUUAACCAGAUCGGGGAGCCGUAGAGAAAUCGAGUCCGAAUAGGGCGAUAGUCGCUGGGUGUAGACCCGAAACCAGGUGAUCUACCCAUGGCCAGGAUGAAGGUGCGGUAACACGCCCUGGAGGUCCGAACCCACUAAUGUUGAAAAAUUAGGGGAUGAGCUGUGGGUAGGGGUGAAAGGCUAAACAAACCUGGAAAUAGCUGGUUCUCUCCGAAAACUAUUUAGGUAGUGCCUCAAGUAUCACCACCGGGGGUAGAGCACUGUUAUGGCUAGGGGGUCAUUGCGACUUACCAAACCAUUGCAAACUCCGAAUACCGGUGAGUGCGAGCUUGGGAGACAGACGUCGGGUGCUAACGUCCGGCGUCAAGAGGGAAACAACCCAGACCGCCAGCUAAGGUCCCAAAGAUUGGCUAAGUGGAAAACGAAGUGGGAAGGCUAAAACAGUCAGGAUGUUGGCUUAGAAGCAGCCAUCAUUUAAAGAAAGCGUAAUAGCUCACUGAUCGAGUCGUCCUGCGCGGAAGAUGUAACGGGGCUAAGCCAGUCACCGAAGCUGCGGAUAUCGUUC